GACGAUGCAUAGCCGAGUUGAGAGACUGAUCGGCCACAUUGGGACUGAGACACGGCCCAAACUCCUACGGGAGGCAGCAGUAGGGAAUCUUCCACAAUGGGCGAAAGCCUGAUGGAGCAACGCCGCGUGAGUGAAGAAGGUUUUCGGAUCGUAAAGCUCUGUUGUUGGUGAAGAAGGAUAGAGGUAGUAACUGGCCCCUAUUUGACGGUAAUCAACCAGAAAGUCACGGCUAACUACGUGCCAGCAGCCGCGGUAAUACGUAGGUGGCAAGCGUUGUCCGGAUUUAUUGGGCGUAAAGCGAGCGCAGGCGGAAAGAUAAGUCUGAUGUGAAAGCCCCCGGCUUAACCGAGGAAUUGCAUCGGAAACUGUGUUUCUUGAGUGCAGAAGAGGAGAGUGGAACUCCAUGUGUAGCGGUGGAAUGCGUAGAUAUAUGGAAGAACACCAGUGGCGAAGGCGGCUCUCUGGUCUGUAACUGACGCUGAGGCUCGAAAGCAUGGGUAGCGAACAGGAUUAGAUACCCUGGUAGUCCAUGCCGUAAACGAUGAGUGCUAAGUGUUGGG
rnacentral:rRNA from 1 species